AUGGGAAAGGACAGUAAAUCUGCUCAUAAUUAUGCUGCAAAAUGUUAUGAUAAUCUGAAGAAUAAGCCAUGUCAUAUGGAACCAUUAGUGGUGAAGCAAACAGAUGGGGAUAUCAAAAGGAAUAGGCUGCGGCUUAGAGUAACCGUUGAUUCACUACGGUGGUUAGCAUUCCAAGCUUGCCCCUUCCGAGGACAUGAUGAAAGUCUUGAUUCGAAGAACCAAGGUAAUUUCCUUGAAAUGGUGAAAUUGAUAGCUUCUUAUGAUGAGGAAAUUGGUGCUGUAGUGUUGGGUAAUGCUCCAGGCAAUGCUAAGUACACAUCACCUACAAUUCAAAAAGAACUUCUAGGUAUCAUUGCUUCUAAGGUGCAAAGUGAAAUCCGUAAAAAAAUAGGAGAUGCUAAGUUCUGCUUGCUUGUUGAUGAGUCAAGAGAUGAAUCCAAAAGAGAGCAAAUGGCAGUAGUUAUUCGUUUUGUUGAUAAACCUGGUUUCACUCGUGAGCGUUUUCUUGAUAUUGUUCAUGUUGCUGAUACAUCUUCGGCUACUCUAAAAGAAGAGAUAUCUUCUGUUUUGGUUCAACAUCAGUUAGAUGUGAACAAUAUUCGCGGCCAAGGAUACGAUGAUGCUAGUAACAUGCGUGGAGAGUGGAAUGGACUACAAGCAAAGUUCAUGGAGGAGUGUCCUUAUGCAUAUUAUAUCCAUUGUUUUGCUCAUCAGUUGCAGCUAGCUCUUGUUGCUGCAUCAAAAGAAGUAGCCGAUGUUCACAACUUUUUUGAUCAUCUUGCUCUUGUUAUCAAUACGGUUGUGUCUUCUAGUAAGAGACAUGAUGAGUUGCAAGCAAAUCAAGUUGCUGAAAUGGAGCAUUUGAUUGAGCUUGGUGAGCUUGAAACUGGAAGUGGGGCUAAUCAAGUCGGAACUUUACAACGGCCUUGUGAUACUAGGUGGAGUUCACACUAUGCUUCUAUUGCAGCCUUGUGA
rnacentral:rRNA from 1 species